CGCGUAGGCGGGUCGUUUAGUUAGAGGUGAAAGCCCAGGGCUCAACCCUGGAAUUGCCUUUAAUACUGGCGGCCUUGAGUAUGGCAGAGGUGUGUGGAACUCCGAGUGUAGAGGUGAAAUUCGUAGAUAUUCGGAAGAACACCAGUGGCGAAGGCGACACACUGGGCCAUUACUGACGCUGAGGCGCGAAAGCGUGGGGAGCAAACAGGAUUAGAUACCCUGGUAGUCCACGCUGUAAACGAUGAGUGCUAGUUGUCGGUAUGCAUGCAUAUCGGUGACGCAGCUAACGCAUUAAGCACUCCGCCUGGGGAGUACGGUCGCAAGAUUAAA
rnacentral:rRNA from 1 species